rnacentral:lncRNA from 1 species
UUGCCCUGUGUACUCUCCUUCUGUCUGCUCCUCUGCGAUUGUUUGCUUUCCUUGUGGUCCUACCACAUGGGCCACCAUCUGUCACCUUCAGCAGAAGCCCAACUAAUGGGACUGCCUGAUUCUGGCCUUUGAGCCUCCAAAACUGUGAGCUAAACAAACCUUUCUUUACAAGUAGCCUGUGUCAGGUAUUUUUUUUUGAUGACAGGAAGCUGAGCAACGCAAUCCCUGACUUAGCUAACUCCUCCUACACCUGGGUAGCCAUCAACUCCAGGAAUCUUGAGCUAAUGAAAUGCCAACCCUUUGGCAAAUGGUUAAGCUGGGUUAGGUGCCCUCUGCCCCAAUCAUUCCCUGGCUGCCCAUUUCUUGCAUCCAGCUUUGCAUCCUCUGCUCACAUCUGAGCUCAGCCACUUCUGGGGCCUUGAGCAGGUGUAAGCAGAUUGUCCUGUCCACCUCACCUUCCACCGCUGGGGUCGCCUGACAUCGAGUCGAGGGUGUCUGCAGAAGGGUGCUGGCUACCAGCACAUGCACCAACCAGGGAAGUGUCAAAACAGCAUGUUCCUCGUGGCUGUGCAGUGUCCUCUCCCCGUGGGACGAGUCCCUAGCUGCCCUGAGCCGAUACAGCUUGAUACAGCCCCAUGCCUUGACUCCCCCAGUCCCCAGCCCUGUUCCCUAGGCUCACAAACAAGUGCCUGCAAUCUGAUACUUUGGGUUUUGCUUUUUUUUUGAGGGGGAUUCCAGCUACUUUUGUCUCUACCACAGCCUUUGUCAAAUUAAAAGUGUUACACUUCUGUCUCUGUUUCAGUCUCUUCCACUCAACUACAAGGCCUUGAAGGCAGAGAUUUUGCCUUAAUAGUUACCUAGAUAGUAAUAAAUGCUUGUUCAGUGAAUGGCUAGAAAGUACACAAUGUGUUUGCAAAUAGCAGCUAAUGGGCAUCAGAGCAUAUGAACGUGGUAAGGUGUUUCUCAUGUUUUAUCUCCUUUAACUCUACAACAACCUAGCAGGGAGGUGCUAUUAUUAUCCCCGUUUUACAUAUAAGGAUCAAGCUGAGAAAGGUUAG